rnacentral:rRNA from 2 species
UGCUGGAUGCUGACGAGCGGCGGACGGGUGAGUAAUGCAUAGGAAUCUGCCCGAUAGUGGGGGAUAACCUGGGGAAACCCAGGCUAAUACCGCAUACGUCCUACGGGAGAAAGGGGGCUCCGGCUCCCGCUAUGGGAUGAGCCUAUGUCGGAUUAGCUAGUUGGUGAGGUAACGGCUCACCAAGGCCACGAUCCGUAGCUGGUCUGAGAGGAUGAUCAGCCACAUCGGGACUGAGACACGGCCCGAACUCCUACGGGAGGCAGCAGUGGGGAAUAUUGGACAAUGGGGGAAACCCUGAUCCAGCCAUGCCGCGUGUGUGAAGAAGGCCCUCGGGUUGUAAAGCACUUUCAGCGAGGAAGAACGCCUAGCGGUUAAUACCCGCUAGGAAAGACAUCACUCGCAGAAGAAGCACCGGCUAACUCCGUGCCAGCAGCCGCGGUAAUACGGAGGGUGCAAGCGUUAAUCGGAAUUACUGGGCGUAAAGCGCGCGUAGGUGGCUUGAUAAGCCGGUUGUGAAAGCCCCGGGCUCAACCUGGGAACGGCAUCCGGAACUGUCAAGCUAGAGUGCAGGAGAGGAAGGUAGAAUUCCCGGUGUAGCGGUGAAAUGCGUAGAGAUCGGGAGGAAUACCAGUGGCGAAGGCGGCCUUCUGGACUGACACUGACACUGAGGUGCGAAAGCGUGGGUAGCAAACAGGAUUAGAUACCCUGGUAGUCCACGCCGUAAACGAUGUCGACCAGCCGUUGGGUGCCUAGCGCACUUUGUGGCGAAGUUAACGCGAUAAGUCGACCGCCUGGGGAGUACGGCCGCAAGGUUAAAACUCAAAUGAAUUGACGGGGGCCCGCACAAGCGGUGGAGCAUGUGGUUUAAUUCGAUGCAACGCGAAGAACCUUACCUAC